UGUCCGUGACUCGUGGUGACUCGGUCCCCGAUUAGUCGGCAUUGCCGGCGUUCAUGGAGACAUUGUCGAUGAUCGCAGAGACUUUGUCCAUAAUCUCAGAGACAUUGUCCGUGAUCACAGAGACACGGUCCAUGAUCGGAGUGACAUUGUUGAGGAUGAGGGAGACAUCGUCCACGAUCAGAGACGUUGUCCAUGGUCGCAGAGACCUUGUCAAAGAUGAGAGAGACGUUGUCCAUGGUCAGAGACAUUGUCGCUGCUUCGCAGAGCUCUGCGCAAGAAUCGGUAGUGACACUGUGGUUCCUCGAUUCGACGGCAUGACCGCGAUCAGCUGGCAUUGUUAAUGAUCACAGAGAAACAGUCUAUCAUCCGAGACUUGGUCCACGAUCACAGACACAUUGUCAAUGAUCGCAGAGACUUUGUCCAUAAUCUCAGAGACAUUGUCCGCGAUCACAGAGAGUCUUCGAACACUGACGUUCUUUGAGACCAGGACAGAGGCCUCCAGGUGUCACCACUUGGUCCACGACAUCGACCACCAUCGCUGAGCCGUCGUCCAUGAUCAGAGAGACAUUGUUGAGGAUGAGGGAGACAUCGUCCACGAUCAGAGACAUUGUCCGUGACUCGUGGUGACUCGGUCCCCGAUUAGUCGGCACUGCCGGCGUUCAUGGAGACAUUGUCGAUGAUCGCAGAGACUUUGUCCAUAAUCUCAGAGACAUUGUCCGUGAUCACAGAGACACGGUCCAUGAUCGGAGUGACAUUGUUGAGGAUGAGGGAGACAUCGUCCACGAUCAGAGACGUUGUCCAUGGUCGCAGAGACCUUGUCAAAGAUGAGAGAGACGUUGUCCAUGGUCAGAGACAUUGUCGCUGCUUCGCAGAGCUCUGCGCAAGAAUCGGUAGUGACACUGUGGUUCCUCGAUUCGACGGCAUGACCGCGAUCAGCUGGCAUUGUUAAUGAUCACAGAGAAACAGUCUAUCAUCCGAGACUUGGUCCACGAUCACAGACACAUUGUCAAUGAUCGCAGAGACUUUGUCCAUAAUCUCAGAGACAUUGUCCGCGAUCACAGAGAGUCUUCGAACACUGACGUUCUUUGAGACCAGGACAGAGGCCUCCAGGUGUCACCACUUGGUCCACGACAUCGUCCACAAUUGCUGAGACGUCGUCCAUGAUCGGAGAGACAUUGUUGAGGAUGAGGGAGACAUCGUCCACGAUCAGAGACAUUGUCCGUGACUCGUGGUGACUCGGUCCCCGAUUAGUCGGCAUUGCCGGCGUUCUUGGAGACAUUGUCAAUGAUCACAGAGACUUUGUCCAUAAUCUCGGAGGCAUUGUCCGCGAUCACAGAGACGUAGUCCGCGAUCACAGACGACCAGGUGUCACCACUUCGUCCACGACAUCGACCACCAUCGCUGAGCCGUCGUCCAUGAUCAGAGAGACAUUGUUGAGGAUGAGGGAGACAUCGUCCACGAUCAGAGACAUUGUCCGUGACUCGUGGUGACUCGGUCCCCGAUUAGUCGGCAUUGCCGGCGUUCAUGGAGACAUUGUCGAUGAUCGCAGAGACUUUGUCCAUAAUCUCAGAGACAUUGUCCGUGAUCACAGAGACACGGUCCAUGAUCGGAGUGACAUUGUUGAGGAUGAGGGAGACAUCGUCCACGAUCAGAGACGUUGUCCAUGGUCGCAGAGACCUUGUCAAAGAUGAGAGAGACGUUGUCCAUGGUCAGAGACAUUGUCGCUGCUUCGCAGAGCUCUGCGCAAGAAUCGGUAGUGACACUGUGGUUCCUCGAUUCGACGGCAUGACCGCGAUCAGCUGGCAUUGUUAAUGAUCACAGAGAAACAGUCUAUCAUCCGAGACUUGGUCCACGAUCACAGACACAUUGUCAAUGAUCGCAGAGACUUUGUCCAUAAUCUCAGAGACAUUGUCCGCGAUCACAGAGAGUCUUCGAACACUGACGUUCUUUGAGACCAGGACAGAGGCCUCCAGGUGUCACCACUUGGUCCACGACAUCGUCCACAAUUGCUGAGACGUCGUCCAUGAUCGGAGAGACAUUGUUGAGGAUGAGGGAGACAUCGUCCACGAUCAGAGACAUUGUCCGUGACUCGUGGUGACUCGGUCCCCGAUUAGUCGGCAUUGCCGGCGUUCAUGGAGACAUUGUCAAUGAUCACAGAGACUUUGUCCAUAAUCUCGGAGGCAUUGUCCGCGAUCACAGAGACGUAGUCCGCGAUCACAGACGACCAGGUGUCACCACUUCGUCCACGACAUCGACCACCAUCGCUGAGCCGUCGUCCAUGAUCAGAGAGACAUUGUUGAGGAUGAGGGAGACAUCGUCCACGAUCAGAGACAUUGUCCGUGACUCGUGGUGACUCGGUCCCCGAUUAGUCGGCAUUGCCGGCGUUCAUGGAGACAUUGUCGAUGAUCGCAGAGACUUUGUCCAUAAUCUCAGAGACAUUGUCCGUGAUCACAGAGACACGGUCCAUGAUCGGAGUGACAUUGUUGAGGAUGAGGGAGACAUCGUCCACGAUCAGAGACGUUGUCCAUGGUCGCAGAGACCUUGUCAAAGAUGAGAGAGACGUUGUCCAUGGUCAGAGACAUUGUCGCUGCUUCGCAGAGCUCUGCGCAAGAAUCGG